rnacentral:rRNA from 1 species
AUUGAACGCUGGCGGCAUGAUUUACACAUGCAAGUCGAACGGUAACAGGCCGCAAGGUGCUGACGAGUGGCGAACGGGUGAGUAAUGCAUCGGAACGUGCCCAGUCGUGGGGGAUAACUACUCGAAAGAGUAGCUAAUACCGCAUACGAUCUAUGGAUGAAAGCGGGGGAGCGGAAGGCCUCGCGCGAUUGGAGCGGGCGAGGUCGGAUGAGGUGGUUGGUGGGGUAAAGGGUCAGCAAGCCAACGAUCUGUAGCUGGUCUGAGAGGACGACCAGCCACACUGGGACUGAGACACGGCCCAGACUCCUACGGGAGGCAGCAGUGGGGAAUUGUGGACAAUGGGCGCAAGCCUGAUCCAGCAAUGCCGCGUGCAGGAAGAAGGCCUUCGGGUUGUAAACUGCUUUUGUACGGAACGAAACGGCUCUGGUUAAUACCCGGGGCUAAUGACGGUACCGUAAGAAUAAGCACCGGCUAACUACGUG